GUGGAUUAGAUACCCUGGUAGUCCACGCCGUAAACGAUGAUGACUAGCUGUCGGGGCGCUUGGCGUUUCGGUGGCGCAGCUAACGCGUUAAGUCAUCCGCCUGGGGAGUACGGCCGCAAGGUUAAAACUCAAAGAAAUUGACGGGGGCCUGCACAAGCGGUGGAGCAUGUGGUUUAAUUCGAAGCAACGCGCAGAACCUUACCAGCGUUUGACAUGGUAGGUCGGUUUCCAGAGAUGGAUUCCUCCCCUUACGGGGCCUACACACAGGUGCUGCACGGUCGUCGACAACU
rnacentral:rRNA from 1 species